rnacentral:misc_RNA from 1 species
GGUAAUCUCUUCUAAAUUAUUGAGCAAGGCAAAGUUAUGGAAAAGCAACUCUUUCUCUCUCUCUUUGUACUGCUCCCCAACCAACAAAAAGAAAGCCUCCAUUGCAAACUGGAAUUUGAUUUGAAAGAGCGAAAGCAACAUAAGAGUUGAAGCGACCCAUCUGUACCCAUGUAGUGUGCUCUCUUUAUAAAAGCUCAAAUAUCUGCCUCCGUCUCUCUCUUUCUCUCUCUCUCUCUCUCU